rnacentral:tRNA from 1 species
UGCCCUUGUAGCUUAACCCCAAAGCGUCGGUCUUGUAAUCCGAAGACCGAAGGUUAAAAUCCUUCCAAGUG